UUUUCCAUUCCUUCUUCAACGAGCAGAGAAGAGCAUCCAUGGAUGGCAUCUUCUCUUCCUUCCUAUUCUCUUGCUUCUGCUCGAACACCACCAUCACCAUCUCACUGACGCCAAUGACACUAUCUAACCUUUUCUUCUUCAAAGAUCAUUUUUUCUUGAACCCUCUUGUUUAAUCUCUAGACUAGAAAACAUAGAUCCGGUAUUUUUAUCUAUUAUCUAGGGUUUUAAUUAUAGAGAUUACUUCGAUUAAGAAAAUCCUUUCCCAAUUUUAGAGUCGUUCUUAAUCAGGAGAUGUAUUAAGCUUCAACUCCUUAGGGAUUUUUGAUAGCCGUUAGAAGGUGGACAAGCUAGAGAACUACCAAACAAGAAUACAUAAGGAAAAUGAGUCAGAGACACCUUUAUUACAUGAAUAUAAUGGUAUUAUAAAAGAAAGUGGUGCAUCUCUCGAGGUAAGCAUGUAUCGUUUUCUUCAUACAGUAAGCCUUUUAUUCAGCUGUUUUCAAAGUUCAUAUUUUCCUCACGGACUUAGUGACUCGAUAGGAGGAGUGACGACUGCUAUAUGUGGUGAUGACUCGUGCUUGUAAGAAACUCUAUAUUUUGUAUGUUACCAUGGACUUGAAUUGGAAGGCAACUCCAAACUUGCCUCCGUCUAUUUCAAUUUGCAGCUGGCAGCGUGGUAAACUAACAAAUUCAAACCUUUUCAGUUGCUUCAACCAUCAUGUUUUCUAAAAGAAAUUCCACGCCACAUUCUCGAUGUUCAGGAUGAAUUGACUAGAAAUGAAAUGUCAAACAUGACCAAAAAUCCCCAGGAGGAAUUGAUCAGAGUGUUGAUGUUACACUAAAGAACAUAUAUGAAAAAUGGUAAACCGCAUAUCCAAAUUAGGUAGCCUAUGCAACUCCAGGUUAUGUAACUUUCUGGAAUCAGCAACUUGAUCGUUUAUAUGAUUUUAUAAUGGUUGUUCAAACUACGGUACAAGAACCUCCUUCUAUUGAGAUGGUUUCUGAGCGACCAAGGCUGAAGUAUCCUUCCAGCGGGGAUAAACAAAAAGUACUUCCAGGAUGUUCACAAACUUCACGGAAAUUAAAUAAAGUCCCCGAGGCGGAGAACCCAGAAGUAAGUAUUACAGGAUGUUACCGAAUAGUGUGCAGUCCCCAGCCGCUUCUUUGAAUUUUUCUCCAUCGAUAAUUGAGGGUCUUCAACUUGCUCCCGGGAAAACAAUUCAGGAAUCCAGGACCGAUGAAGAAGUUGAUUUAAGCAUCUCUUUCGUUCAAGCGAUCAUGGCAUUUCCUUGAACGAAAUAAUAGUAAUUGUUAUUGAUGUAUCCAGGAGGAGAUUACCAUGGAUAAACAAAAUAUUGAUAAAGCACAUUCUUCCUUGGGAAAUGAGGAACUGAAUGGAGGUAACAAUGCUAUUAAUGGUGACUUCGACAACAUUAAUUCUUCGAAUGGCUUAGAGACCCCUCAAGUAAGUGCCAAGCGCCGAAGUUGAGAAUAAUGGAGCCAAUGAUGAUUCGAACAAUGUGACGAAUCAAGAUGAUGAUGUUUCCAUCGACGCACCUCAGAGUCAUGAGAAUGUUACUACUGAAGUUGUUGAGGAGAACGAUGCUCGAGUCGUCAUUACUUCAGAGACGGAAGGAACCAGACCAGGAAUAGAAGAAACUAUGAUGGAAGAAACUGCUCUUGCUCCACCGAUGGAAAAGAUUAAUCCAGAAAGAGGAGAAGCUUCCACGAUGAUUGAGACUCUUGUAGUGGUGCAUAAAUAUUCUACUGCAGGUAUUGCUUUUGUUCCUCCAUUUGGUGAGUUACUCCCGUAUUAUGAAUUAGUUGGUGGAUUUAGCGUUUCUAUUGCAUAUGCCGUCAUAUAUGAAGAAAUAUGGGAAAUAUAUGGUCAUAUCGUCUUCACCACAUACCCAAAACAAAAACCAAGCAAGUAGGAGCUAUCUGGCGGGUUAUAGACGAUAUACGAACCAGAGCUAGAAGAACUGUUACUCCAGAUGUAAUCUGUGAUUGGGAGUACAAUUUGGACCAUUCUGAGAAACCGGGUUUUAAUGUGGGAUGGCUUCAUGAGAGAAUUUAAUCCAUUAAAGAAGCAGUCGAUAAGAAUGUACCUCUGACAAGUGAUGCUGUGAUGAAGAAGGAGGCUAAGAUCUCCAGUUGAUUGAAGAACUGGAGUUAGAGAAAGCUACCUUACGAGACCUGAAAAUUGCAGAGCAGCAAAACUCUUUCUUUGUUGAUUUCCUUUAGUUUCCUUUCCAUAAUCUCUUGAACCUUGAACUUCUGACAGAUGUGAGGUUUUAUUUUGGUUCUGAUUUAUUGAUUGGUUUUGGAUAAGUGAGUG